rnacentral:rRNA from 1 species
GAUGAACGCUAGCUACAGGCUUAACACAUGCAAGUCGAGGGGAAACGAUAUUGGAAGCUUGCUUCCGAUAGGCGUCGACCGGCGCACGGGUGAGUAACGCGUAUCCAACCUGCCCAUCACUUGGGAAUAACCUUGCGAAAGUAAGACUAAUGCCCAAUGACAUUUAUAGAAGGCAUCUGAAAUGAAUUAAAGAUUUAUCGGUGAUGGAUGGGGAUGCGUCUGAUUAGCUUGUUGGCGGGGUAACGGCCCACCAAGGCGACGAUCAGUAGGGGUUCUGAGAGGAAGGUCCCCCACAUUGGAACUGAGACACGGGUCCAAAACUCCUACGGGAGGCAGCAGUG